GGGAUUCGAACCCUCGAUAGUUAUUUUUUAUUAACUAUACCGGUUUUCAAGACCGGAGCCAUCAACCACUC
rnacentral:tRNA from 1 species